ACGCUCGACACCUACGGGAGUCAGCAGUGGGGAAUAUUGCACAAUGGGGGAAACCCUGAUGCAGCGACGCCGCGUGAGUGAAGAAGUAUUUCGGUAUGUAAAGCUCUAUCAGCAGGGAAGAAGAUGACGGUACCUGAGUAAGAAGCCCCGGCUAACUACGUGCCUGCAGCCGCGGUAAUCUGAGCGGGCUGGCAAGGC
rnacentral:rRNA from 1 species